rnacentral:misc_RNA from 1 species
GAGACUAGUAUAAGAGAGCUACACGAUAUGUUUAUGGAUAUGGCCAUGUUAGUAGAACAGCAGGGAGAAAUGAUCGACCGAAUAGAAUACAACGUAGAACAGGCGGUGGACUAUAUAGAGACGGCAAAAAGUGACACCAAGAAAGCAGUCAAGUACCAGAGUAAAGCUAGGCGGAAAUUAAUCAUGAUCAUCAUAUGUGUUGUAGUCUUACUCGCUGUCAUUGCAAUUAUUUUGGCUACCAGUCUGAGUUAAUGCUGCAUGUUAUAUGAACAAAAACAAAAAGUUCAGCACACAAACUUUGAUGUGGACACUUUUAAUAUUCAAAUGGGGAUCAUUACCGAAUCGUGAGGAGAAUUUACUGCAUGACAUUUCUAUGACUCUAGCGUACCGAAUAAUGUGUACCGGGCAGUGAUAUCCUUCGCACAACAUGCUAUUAAAAAAAAAAGUUCAACAAAAAAAAUAUGAAUUAGUGAAACUGUGUUCAAAGCAACGAUCCAAGGCAGUUUUAAAUGGUUUUCAUCAACUGAACAAUUGUGUAGUGAUUUUAUUGCUGAAAAAAACAAAAAACUGCACCAAGUAGAUGUCUGAUUUUAUUUCUCUGUCGGAUAGAGACUUUGACACAAGAACUUGUACCGUAGCAUGGUCUUCUUCCUGAUUUAGAAUUUUGUUGUAUUUAGAGACAUUUUGUAGUAUGAAGAAGCAGACAAGAUUCUAAAUUAGCGGUGUUGUUCUAAAUAUAGACUACUUUCAAUCCUCAAUCAUUCCUACUUGUGCUUUAUAUGCGAGUAGAACUAUAGAGUCAGCUCUGUCUAAAUAUAUUAUAUUUAAAUGUAUGUAUGUGAGUUCUGGUGAAAUCUUCAAACUUCUAUCCAUGAUUUUUUUUAUUGAAACUCUUUAAAUAAAACAUAUUUAUUAACUGAA